rnacentral:tRNA from 1 species
GGCCGGUUAGCUCAGUCAGUUGAGCAUGGUGUUAAGAACGCCAAGGUCGCGGGUUCAAUUCCCAUUCGGUCC